rnacentral:lncRNA from 1 species
CUUCUCACUCACCUCCCACCAUGGCUGGAGGAGGCCAUCCCAAAGCCUGGAUUAUCCUCUUCUCUCUGCUGCUGCAGGAGCUUCCUUUUCUUCAUUGUCCAGUCCUACAGAUGUCAGACUUGAGUUAGAUCCCUAGUUCUUCCCUCUUCUUUAACCCUGGAGAGUUAUCAAGUCCAGGCCCUUUUCCUCUUUAGGAUGAUCCCUCCAGGCCACCCUUGUCUGUGUCAAGCUUAGAUUUGUUCUACCUGAUCCUUCCUUCUCCAUUCCAUCACUGUAACAUGAUGGUCUCUCACCCCAAACUUCUUUCCCUCAACCUGUUCUUCGAGAAUAGUUGUUACAUACCACAUUUGGUAUGGUAUUUUCCCCCUUCAAAGCAUUCAGUGUUUUCUCACACCCUCCAGGAUCAAAUACAGUUUUCUUUUUUGCCGGGGACGGGGGCCACAAUUUAUAUUUGAUUGCCAUAAUUCUCUGCAACUGCUUGAUCUAUGUCUCUAGCCUCCUUUCCCACAGUCUGGGGAGGCAGUCUCUAAACCCUGUUUGCCUCACCUUUGGUCAUGCUGUGCUCUGUCCACACUGCCCUCCCCUCUCCUCCUCCUCCUCUAAAAAUUUCCCUUAUGCCCACUUCUUAAGCUCCUUCAAGCCAGCCAAUAAUGGUCUUACACAUCAUGGAACAUUUACAGCAUUCAAUUACUAGUAAGUGGAAUUUGAGGUGUGUUUUCCCUAGGUUAAGGACUUUUUGGUUAACAAAUUACAAAAACUACUCUAAUUGGCUUAAGACAGUCAAUUCAUUAGAAGGAUAGUGGGAUAUCCCUUUGUUACUCAAGGUCAGGAAUGAAGGUGGGUCACUAUCAUCUGGCUUUCAAACACCAUCAGAACACUCUUUCAUCUUUAGCUCUGUACUUUAGUUACUACUGCUUAUGACAAAUCCACCUCUCUGUUUCCCAAGCCAUAAAACAGUUUGCUUCUAAGAUCCAAGUUUUAUGUUACAGAAAAAAAAAUUUCCUGAAAGAUACUUUAUAUAUAUAUAUUCUCUAAAUUCCUAUGGAAGGGAUGGAGUGACCUUGCUCAAGUCUGGUUUUCAUGCUUAGAGGACCAUAUUAACCUGUGGAUAGAGUUGAUAUCUUAGAAACAUGGCAGUUACCCUGCAUCCAGUAGGAAUGGUAAGGGAGAAAAGGCGAUUCCUGGAAAAGUGGUAAUUCUAGAUAGUUAUCCAACCCCAAUUCCACCUUUUAAUGCCUAAGGACAUGUAAACAAACUAUUUCCUACAUAUCCACAAUUAUCACAGUUAUUGAAUAUCACAUAUAAAGUUGUAAAUACACUUGCCUUCACAAAGCAAAACAAUUACAUGUCAUGACAAGACACUGCAUAUAGAGGACAUGAGAUGGAGUUUAUGAUUUUGAUGGGAGACAGGGUGCUAAAGAUAGAAGCCAGGUCCUUGCACAU